GCGUCCUUAGCUCAAUUGGUAGAGCAGCUGGCUCUUAACCAGCGGGUUCAAGGUUCGAGUCCUUGAGGACGCA
rnacentral:tRNA from 1 species